GGGAAAAGAAGAGGAAAAAAAAAGAAGAGGGAGAGGUGUACAGAGGAAGGGUGUCACAAAUUUUGGGAUUUUUUUGGGAAUUUCAUCAUUUUUUGGGGAUUUUU
rnacentral:ribozyme from 14 species